rnacentral:rRNA from 1 species
UAGGGAAUAUUGCAAAAUGGGCGAAAGCCCGAUGCAGCAACGCCGCGUGGGCGAUGAAGGCCUUCGGGUCGUAAAGCCCUUUUUGAGGGGAUGAGGAAGGACAGUACCCUCAGAAUAAGCCUCGGCUAACUACGUGCCAGCAGCCGCGGUAAAACGUAGGAGGCGAGCGUUAUCCGGAUUUACUGGGCGUAAAGCGCGUGCAGGCGGAUUGGAGAGUUGGAUGUGAAAGCUCCCGGCUUAACUGGGAGAGGUCGUUCAAUACUUCCAGUCUUGAGUGCAGUAGAGGGAAGUGGAAUUCCGGGUGUAGUGGUGAAAUGCGUAGAUAUCCGGAGGAACACCAGUGGCGAAAGCGGCUUCCUGGACUGUAACUGACGCUCAGACGCGAAAGCUAGGGUAGCAAACG